CAACUAUUAUUCAAUUAAAAAAGAUUCAAAUGCUCAACUACAAUCUUAUUCUUCUAACUAUCAACUGCACAUGAUAACCACAAAGCAAUUGACUUUGAUAAAAAUGCAGAUUCACAUGAUGAAUUCUGUAUAACAUCAUCUCCAAAUAUUGGGAAUCAAAACAGAAUAGGCUACCACCUAGAAAAAUGAAAUACUGAAUCAAAAUUCUUUUAGGACCAGAAAUAAGGAACACAGCUGAAGUGAUGUUAAACUAAGUCAACGAGUCUCCAAACUGGAAUACCUUCAUCACAGAUUAGAAGAUAGCAUAGCAUAAACUUCAGUGACAUGGAUGACAAUAUGGCACUCACAAAUUGAUACAAUUCUAGAUAAUUGAACUUGCUGCUACAGUAAUACAAGCCUGUGCCAGCAAAUCCAUUAUUCUAAAUUUUUGACACCAUACUGAAAGUUUAACUUACUUCAACAUAAUCUAAUUUAUUUAAUAGGAAGUUGUGUUCAAUCCAGAACCAAUAAACUUUAAAUGGAAAAAAUAACAUUAAAUGUUAUCGUUGUUAAAGUAACAAGGAAAGCCAGCGGACAUUCCUCGGGUAUAAAAAUAAAAUCAAUAUCCAGAAAAAAGAGAGUCUUGCAUCAACUGUUUUCCAGCAAGCAAUUAUCUUUUUUUGUAGUUCAUAAGUAAAACAAAGUCUACAAUGAAAUUCCAUUAAUAAACUUUGUUUAAACAAAGCACAGUUAUGACUAAGUAACUGUAUAACAGCUAGAAUACCCACUUCAUUAGCACAGCACACAACUCAAAUUGUGGGGAAAAAAUUACAGUAACUUUUAAAUAUUAAAAGAUGAAAGAUGAAAUUCAAGAUACUUAUUUAGGUGAGAAAAUUUGAACCUGAAAAACUUGGUGCAUGGCUUCAAUUUGCUUCCUACAACAGUUGAUAAGGGGUCCAUUUCUGUUACAAACAUUAAUUACUAGUUCUCAGUUAAAAUUUCUCCAGAUUCUUAAUCUACUUAUUCUAAAAUAUUCCCAAGUUUAAUACCAGUAGGACUCGCUACAAAACACCUAAGUUUUUUAGAAUAAAAUUGUCUAACUAAUAUAGAAUGUUUGGUGCGUAAUAUAGAUGUACAUUGACAAGUACAUUCCAGCAAAUUUUUCUCACCCUUAUCUAGCAUCCACUCAUGUGGUAACCCUGUUUUUGUACUUCACAAAUGAACUGAAGUCUCCAAUGAAGUUUAUGGGUGUUUUUGUUUUGUUGAGAUUUUCACUUAGUUCAGGGCAUGUUUAAUUGAGGUGGAGUUAAAUGCUGGGAGAUGAUUUGAUUUUUGUUUGGUCAAAUGCAUUUAUACUUGAGGCUGUUUGAUGUUAGUUAUGUCUAGAGGAGAAACCAGAAAUCUCUCUCAAAGCCAUUGAAGGAUGCUUGGGUUAAUUCUAUAAAAUAUGUUACUCAAACAAAGGACAAUCCUUUGACGAUGAGUAACAGUUCUUGAGCUUGGGGGAUAAUUUAAUUUGAGUGUUUGUAUGGUUUUAAGUGUUUUAUUUGCUGCCUUUUCACCCUAUAUAUGAAUGCUACAUUAUCGGUGCUUUAAGUAUAACUUGUAACACAGAUAAAGUUUCUCCAGGCUAAGAUUUUGCAUGUUCAACGACAGUUUAAAAAUUGGAUUUCUCAAGGACGCCAACCAAUGAGGUAGUUUCUGGAACUAUUAUGCCAAUAUUCAAGCAGCAGCAGCAGAAGAGGUGGGAUAAGCAAGAAAAUCAUAACCACAAUCAAAGCUAAUGCGGGUAAUUCCUGACUCUACAGUCCUACCAGUGAAACAGCAGCAAAGGUUUGACAAUACAAGCAGGCAAAAUCAAAACUACAGCCAACGUAAAAAAAAAGCCUAACCGGCUAACCCCCAAAACAACAUAAUUUAAACAUUCUAACAGCAAUACAGAAGCAUAAAUUAUGUUUUUUUUUAAAAAAAAAAAAAAGAACAAAACAGUAAAGAUAACAAUCAACCAGUCUUUCCACGGAAUAAAAGCUUCAUUAUUGGCAUUGAACCCAAUUUUAAAACACGCAAAUGAUU